GAUGAACGCUGGCGGCGUGCCUAUACAUGCAAGUCGAGCGAACGGACGAGAAGCUUGCUUCUCUGAUGUUAGCGGCGGACGGGUGAGUAACACGUGGAUAACCUACCUAUAAGACUGGGAUAACUUCGGGAAACCGGAGCUAAUACCGGAUAAUAUUUUGAACCGCAUGGUUCAAAAGUGAAAGACGGUCUUGCUGUCACUUAUAGAUGGAUCCGCGCUGCAUUAGCUAGUUGGUAAGGUAACGGCUUACCAAGGCAACGAUGCAUAGCCGACCUGAGAGGGCGAUCGGCCACACUGGAACUGAGACACGGUCCAGACUCCUACGGGAGGCAGCAGUAGGGAAUCUUCCGCAAUGGGCGAAAGCCUGACGGAGCAACGCCGCGUGAGUGAUGAAGGUCUUCGGAUCGUAAAACUCUGUUAUUAGGGAAGAACAUAUGUGUAAGUAACUGUGCACAUCUUGACGGUACCUAAUCAGAAAGCCACAGCUAACUACGUG
rnacentral:rRNA from 1 species